rnacentral:tRNA from 1 species
CCGCCACUACCUCAUCUGGAUAGUGCGUCAGCCUUUUAAGCUGAUGGUGCGAGGUUCAAGUCCUCGGUGGCCGACCA